UACGUAGGGUGCGAGCGUUAAUCGGAAUUACUGGGCGUAAAGCGUGCGCAGGCGGCUUUGCAAGCCAGAUGUGAAAUCCCCGGGCUCAACCUGGGAACUGCAUUUGUGACUGCAAGGCUGGAGUGCGGCAGAGGGGGAUGGAAUUCCGCGUGUAGCAGUGAAAUGCGUAGAUAUGCGGAGGAACACCGAUGGCGAAGGCAGCCCCCUGGGCUAAGAUUGACGCUCAUGCACGAAAGCGUGGGGAGCAAACAGG
rnacentral:rRNA from 1 species